UACGUAGGGUCCGAGCGUUGUCCGGAAUUAUUGGGCGUAAAGGGCUCGUAGGCGGUCUGUCGCGUCGGGAGUGAAAACUUACAGCUUAACUGUGAGCGUGCUUCCGAUACGGGCAGACUUGAGGUAUUCAGGGGAGAACGGAAUUCCUGGUGUAGCGGUGAAAUGCGUAGAUAUCUGGAGGAACACCGGUGGCGAAGGCGGCAUCCUGGACCAACACUGACGCUGAGUGAGCGAAAGCCAGGGGAGCAAACGGG
rnacentral:rRNA from 1 species